rnacentral:rRNA from 1 species
AUUGAACGCUGGCGGCAUGCCUUACACAUGCAAGUCGAACGGCAGCACGGGGCAACCUGGUGGCGAGUGGCGGACGGGUGAGUAAUGCAUCGGAACGUACCUUUCAGUGGGGGAUAACGUAGCGAAAGUUACGCUAAUACCGCAUAUUCUGUGAGCAGGAAAGCAGGGGAUCGCAAUACCUUGCGCUGAUUGAGCGGCCGAUAUCAGAUUAGCUAGUUGGUGAGGUAAAGGCUCACCAAGGCGACGAUCUGUAGCGGGUCUGAGAGGAUGAUCCGCCACACUGGAACUGAGACACGGUCCAGACUCCUACGGGAGGCAGCAGUGGGGAAUUUUGGACAAUGGGGGCAACCCUGAUCCAGCCAUGCCGCGUGAGUGAAGAAGGCCUUCGGGUUGUAAAGCUCUUUCGGCCGGGAAGAAAUCGCAUGGGUUAAUACCCUGUGCGGAUGACGGUACCGGCAUAAGAAGCACCGGCUAACUACGUGCCAGCAGCCGCCGUAAUAC